UUACCUGGGCUUGACAUCCCCGGCUGGCUCUGGAAACAGGGAGUUCUCCUUCGGGGGACCGGGAGACAGGUGCUGCAUGGCUGUCGUCAGCUCAUGUUGUGAGAUGUUGGGUUAAGUCCCGCAACGAGCGCAACCCCUGCCUUUAGUUGCUAACGGGUGGAGCCGAGCACUCUAGGGGGACCGCCGCAGUAAAUGCGGAGGAAGGUGGGGAUGACGUCAAGUCCUCAUGGCCUUUAUGCCCAGGGCUACACACGUACUACAAUGGGCGGUACAAAGGGAAGCAAACUUGUGAGGGUGAGCCAAUCCCAAAAAGCCGUUCACAGUUCGGAUCGGAGUCUGCAACUCGACUCCGUGAAGUUGGAAUCGCUGGUAAUCGCGGAUCAGCAUGCCGCGGUGAAUACGUACCCGGGCCUUGUACACACCGCCCGUCACACCACGAAAGUCGGCUGUACCAGAAGUGCGUGGGCUAACUGGCAACAGGGGCAGCGUACCAAGGUGUGGUCGGUAAUUGGGGUGAAGUCGUAACAAGGUAGCC
rnacentral:rRNA from 1 species